AAAGUCGUAACAAGGUUUCCGUAGGUGAACCUGCGGAAGGAUCAUUAACGAAUUCAAAGUCGGCCUUGUUGUGCUGGUGGAAACACAUGUGCACGCUUGGUCGCAAAUCCACACACCUGUGCAUCUAUGACUCGAGGUUGUCGUCGUAUGACCGAGAGUAACUUUUACACACUCUUGAAUGUAAUGGAAUGUCUAUGUGCAUAAUGUACAAUGAAACAACUUUCAACAACGGAUCUCUUGGCUCUC
rnacentral:misc_RNA from 1 species